UCCAACCUGCCCUUUACUCGGGGAUAGCCUUUCGAAAGAAAGAUUAAUACCCGAUGGGAUAAUCAUUCCGCAUGGUUUGAUUAUUAAAGGAUUCCGGUAAAGGAUGGGGAUGCGUUCCAUUAGGUUGUUGGUGAGGUAACGGCCCACCAAGCCUUCGAUGGAUAGGGGUUCUGAGAGGAAGGUCCCCCACAUUGGAACUGAGACACGGUCCAAACUCCUACGGGAGGCAGCAGUGAGGAAUAUUGGUCAAUGGGCGCGAGCCUGAACCAGCCAAGUAGCGUGAAGGAUGACUGCCCUAUGGGUUGUAAACUUCUUUUAUAUUAGAAUAAAGUGCAGUAUGUAUACUGUUUUGUAUGUAUAAUAUGAAUAAGGAUCGGCUAACUCCGUGCCAGCAGCCGCGGUAAUACGGAGGAUCCGAGCGUUAUCCGGAUUUAUUGGGUUUAAAGGGAGCGUAGGUGGACUGGUAAGUCAGUUGUGAAAGUUUGCGGCUCAACCGUAAAAUUGCAGUUGAUACUGUCAGUCUUGAGUACAGUAGAGGUGGGCGGAAUUCGUGGUGUAGCGGUGAAAUGCUUAGAUAUCACGAAGAACUCCGAUUGCGAAGGCAGCUCACUGGACUGCAACUGACACUGAUGCUCGAAAGUGUGGGUAUCAAACAGGAUUAGAUACCCUGGUAGUCCACACAGUAAACGAUGAAUACUCGCUGUUUGCGAUAUACAGUAAGCGGCCAAGCGAAAGCAUUAAGUAUUCCACCUGGGGAGUACGCCGGCAACGGUGAAACUCAAAGGAAUUGACGGGGGCCCGCACAAGCGGAGGAACAUGUGGUUUAAUUCGAUGAUACGCGAGGAACCCUUACCCGGGCUUAAAUUUGCAGUGGAAUGAUGUGGAAACAUGUCAGUGAGCAAUCACCACUGUGAUGUGCUGCAUGAUUGUCGUCAGCUC
rnacentral:rRNA from 1 species